GGAAGCAUGAGUACAGAAUCCAGCUGCUUCCACCCCGGGGGCAGGUCUGAAUUCAUUGGUCCUGUAUUUUCUGGCUUGUGACCUCAGUCUGCUGGAUGAUGCACAGAACCCUCCUGGGCCCCUGCUUUUCCUGACUCUCCUCUCCUGAUGGGGGUAAGGGGCUCUCCCAUCACCAAUGCACUCCUUGAAGCAACUGCUCUGCCUGACACACCCGCCUGGGAAUCCUGGACCUCCAGUGAGUUGAGUAACGGGCCAUCCUUUCUACCUUCCAGGAAAUGAUAACAGCAGUUCAUCACAGGCUUAUGUCUCAUGGGUAAGAGACCAGUGGACCUCUAGCAUCCAUACAACUGCCUGACUUCUACAUGACAGAAUCAAUGUCUACGAUACAAUCAGCCACUUCAAAGCCACUUCCCAACAGUGCUUAUCCGGGAGGAUUUAAAGGCAGUGAUAAACACAAGUUUGAUACCUGAUGUGGUCUCUGAAACGAGGACAGGAGAAAGUGCAGGCAGACAUGGAACACAGAGGCAUGUCCUAAGGCAUUUCUCCUUUUACGGGCUCUUCUCUCCGUGAAGAUGGCAUUUCUCUGAGCGCUUACGAAGAUUACUCACCAAGAAAGAGACACUGGGCAGGUCUCCCACCUUGGAAACCCCUGGUCUCUGCCUGGCUGAGGCCCCAAGUUGACACUGGUAUGGCUGUGGCUCAGCCUUGGAACACCGCUGAUCCCACUGGAAUCACAGGAUCUUGCUUGAAAAAGUCAAGGCACUGACUCGGGGAGCCCAGAUACCUUUAGGGUCCAGGUAAGAAGAGAAGCUAGCAGAGCUAACAUUGAGGGGGUCCCUUCUGAGUCCAGACCCUCUUCUACGCACUUGGCAGACGCUGGUUCUCUGAGUCCUCCCAGGCGUCCCCUGAAACGGGUGGUGUCACGCACGGUCUGGAAGCCCAAGGCUAUCAGAGCCUUGCGACAUGAGGGUUCAUCAGGGCCUGUGACCCAAAGAAUAUGGGAUCCCCUACAACAGUCUUUGGAACACAAGAAACCAAUCCCGGGCAGGUCAGCAGGACUUAAUUGGGGGGGAUGGAUUCAAACAGGCCUGUGUUGGGCCCUUGAGCUGCUAGCCUGCAACCCAAUCAUUAAUUUUUUUUUUAAUUUUCUUAAUAGUUUUCUCAUUUUAUAGAUAAGAAGGAUAAAACUGGAGGGAGGUUUUCUUCCUCGGAAUCCCGCUCUCGGAUUUUAAGCUGACAAUCUUCCCACGCCACGUGUCACCUGCAGAACUUGGGCUUUGAAGCUCACAUGGUGACCGCCUCUCCCACCGGGUCCCUCAGCCAGGACAGCUUCAGCCCUGGGCCACCCCAGCCUUUCAUAAACUCUGGAUUUUUAAUUGAACCAACCGUAUACUCAACCAAUCCGGUCGUGGCAUAACCUAAAAACCAUCAAUGUCAGCGAAAGGAGAUGGUCCGACACAGGGACCCCUCCAGCCACACAUAGCAGAGCUGGGACCGAAGCUGGAGGCGUCACCAAAACAGGGGAGGCAUCCAAAGUUGGUUUUAACGAAGACCAAACAGCCGGAAUCCUCCUAGAGGGGGCCCGCCAGCCACCACACAGUGCUGGGGGCAAAUCGAAUGUUCUCUCAGCUGCUCCAAGUUUAGAAAUCAGGUGCUGACUCAUUAUUAACCCAGGAAGCCCACACACUCAAAUGACUGUACUGAAAAAGCUCUGUCAUACCCUGCUUACUGAUGUGCAGAUUUUUAAGCAAAUUUGAAAAAUGUUUACCAUAAGGUAUUUAUGACAUUUUAACCGUUUCAUUUACAGUAACCAGACGACAUUUGAAAAAAAAAAAAGUUUCCUGUAUUUUACUUGACAGUAAAGCUAAGCUUUAUCAGAAUGUUAACAGCUUGAGAAACACAUACCGAGGUCAAGUCAGGUCUCAAAACCACUCAAUUCCCCCUUCCUCACCCCCUGCCCCCCAGUCCGCGGCAUCAUUUUCUUUCUGAUUUUACUAUUGUUUGUGACUUUUCAGUGUUAAGGAAAGGCAAAAGACACCAAAUAAGCUCCUGGAAUCUUUCUCAUGCUCUUAGAGAGAAAAGCCAAAAGUCUGCCUCUUUAUUGUGUAUUUCUUGCACUAAAAGUGGGAAGCUCAGACCACGCGGCCAGAAAUUGCUCAGAAGCUGUCUUUCCUCCACCUCUGAGAAGCGGAAGCCAGCCCGGCCUCAGCACCGCUGGGUUAGUCACCCACCUCCACCUCUGAACUUCCCUUCGGCUCCACAGAGGAGUCUCAAACAGCUUUUAAACCAGCCAAGCAUCACUGUCUCCUCGGUAAUAUAGGAUGAGCAUUCUCACAAUGAACCGCUAAGAAACUCCAAGCAAUCAGGUUCCCGGACAGUAGCUACAGGGACAGGGCAGAGAGCCACCUUUCUAAAGUCAAAGAUCUUCAAUGUCUCAACGAAACACAGUAUCCACUCCAAGACCCCUCAGCUUUCCUAGAGCUGAGACACUGAGGCAAACUGCAGAAAUGAACAUGAAAGUGACAGAAACCUACUCACCAGGGAGAAGCUGAGGGCUCCACCUUCCCAGGACCAGGCUGUGAAGAUGUGAAAGCAGAUGCUGACUCAGGCACAGCCCGCCUGGAAUGUCAGUUUGAAACUUAAAAAGCAACGACCAUACAGUCAGUUAUUUCCCUCCAUUCCCAAUGAUGUCCACACGAUUGAGACUCAAAAAAAAAAAGGCGCACACCUCAAUCUUCAUUCUCAUUGGAACGAGAUGACUCAUGCUGACUCACAGCCACCACUUCCUCUCCCGACAUUCUCUUCAUACUUGUGAGCUGGGCUGGUCCCGUUCCCAGGGUCUUUGCAGCCCUUCCUGGAAGAACAGCCUUCCUGACCCCAGCAAGCAGACCCAGCCACUGCCCUACAUGUAGCCCUGGGAGCCUACACUAGGGAAAUGCUUUAUUUAGGAGAUCUGGGAACAGCUGAAAUAGAAAAUGCAAGAACUUCCUAUGCAUUUGAACCUGCAAUAGACACUGAAAUUUUGUAACGGAUUGCAAAACUCCUGCACUAAACUGCUCUUUUCAGGGCAUUUCAGGGGGAGAGAGGAAUGAGGUAUUAUCUUCUUCUUGCAGGAGGUUAGUUUGCCCUAGUCAUGCUUAUUUCAGUGUAUGUUUUCUCCUGCACCUCUUCCUCUGAUAGAGUAAUAAAUCACGGGCUCUAAAAUCAUGAUCUCUUCAAAGCUAUUUAUUAAGAGUUUGUAUGCCCUGUUUUUAAGAUCAAGUGAUGUACCAAAUCUCUUCAAUCCAUCUUUCAGGCUUCAAGACUAUGCCAGAUUUGAAUAUUCAAGUCCCAAGGAAUGAAAUGAAAGUAGAACCCUGGCAAUUUUAAAAACCGUUGAUGAAUGUUUCCAUGCAAGAACUGAGACUAGCCUCUGCCUCCCAGUUUUCUUUGGAAUGAUCCCGGGGGUGGGGCAGCCUUCCACAGCUUCCCACAGUUUUAAAUUAUGAGAGGCAACGGAAGAGCAGAAUCUGUGUGAUGUUGAGCAGCCAGGAAGCGUGGCUGUGGCCGCAUCAGGCCCACCCUGGUUUCUGGAGGGUGACCCAUGAAAGACCAGGGGUGAACACGGGUGCCCUUCACCCUUUCUAACUCAGUACCUGUCACUGUGCAGGCCACACUCUGAUACCCCUAAAGCACAGAAAGCCAAUGAGGAAAUGCUGUUCUGGAAGUGGGCAGAAGACCCAGGCAAGCGGCAUCUGUGUGCACCCGGGAGGGGUCAGGAAACCCACUCUCCAUUUACAGCUGGAUUCAUUUUAGGGAAAUAAUACUUGUUCAUUACUCUAGAUCUCAGUUCUUUCAACAGGGCAAUCGGGGCAUUUUCUAUCAGACAAUACCAAGUGCUUUGAGGUCCCUGUGGACGUUGCAGUAUAUUAGUCAACUGGCCAAAUAUUCGUGUUUCUGGCAGUGUUUUGGUUUUUGAUUUUUUUCCAGGAGCGUGGAAAGCCUGUUGGUUUUCUGGAAUUUCAGAACGGCUAUGUUGUGCAAUUCGUUGCAGUGUGUUUUCUUUUGGGGGAGAGUGGGAAUGGGGGUGGGUGCAGUGGGCUCGUGAGCAGCCUGUCCUAAAGGGACACAUCUUAGGACGUGAGGGUCUAGCAGCCCCACGAGAAGCAGGCAUUGAUGCCAGGAGGCUGUGAGGGCUAUUGAAGCAGGGAUUAUGAAUUGUUAUUUUUGUGCUAUAUGUAGAAAGCCAGCCUCUACUUAUGAAGACGUGUAUUAGGUCAACUCAUUAAUCCCUGGGGGGAGCUGAAAAAUUAUUAAUUGAAAAAAAAAACCACCAGGAAGGAAUUAAAGAAAUUUGAAAUAGUUGGGAAAGGUAGGCUCCAAGGGACAGCCACUCCCUCCUGCCGGAAAGGCCCUACCAGAGGCGUCAUUGCUUUACCAGUGGUUUCUUCCUCAGCCACGCUGUUUCAGUGACGCUUCCGGAGUCCUCCAGGGCAAGGCCUCCUCUUAUAGCAGGAGCCUUGAGCCACCACUGUGGAAAGACAGUGGAACUGUGUUCUCCAUGUAGUGUUGCAUCGGAUAAUCCCAGGGAUAAUGUGUCAAUUCCUGAUUGCCCCUCCUUCCAAAGCUCUUCUCAUCCGGGCCAGGAAGUGGGAAAGGGCACCAGUGUGAGAAGGGGCUGCCAUCAAUACAUUCAUAAAUAAAUUAUUUAUUAAGGCAAAUCAGCACCACCUCCCAUGAUUGUUAAUACGGAAUGUUCUAGAGAGGAUUCACUUCUGCGUAGUUCACCAGAAAGGAACCAAUGAUGACAUUUUAAAUGUGGCUACAUGGAAACACGUUUUAAACAUCGGCAUGCUUUUUCCCCAAUGAGAAUAGCACUGGAAGAAUUUAGGUUUCCAUGACUUAGGGAAAUAAACAAGUUUCACUCCUGAA